rnacentral:pre_miRNA from 1 species
AAAAAGACAAACCAUGGAUUUCCGUGUCCAACUUUGACUGUCUGUCUUAUAUAAAUUUUUUUUAUAAUUCGUAUUUUCAUUGUUGUUAGAUGAUAAAACAUGAUUAAUAUUUUAUGCGUGACUUGUUUUUUUAAUUUUUUUUCAUAAUUUUUUCAAAUAAAACGGACGGUCAAACGUUGGGCACGGAAAUCAGGGUUUGUCUUUUU